ensembl:lncRNA
GAACCCUGUGUGAACAUUUCAGUGUGGACGCACAAUCUAUGGGAGGAUUUUCCUCGCAGGACUGUAUCCCAGGAGUUCAGAUUCUGGCUCAUUUUGAUUAUUUGCAAACUAAAUUGCUUACAUCUCCCAUUCACUUUAUUUCCAAGACUUCAGAUUAAUUUUUUUUUAAAAAAAAUCCUUUUAAACAAAGGGUUAUUAAAAAUCUUACAUCUCUGAGCCUGGUAUGAUUUGCACAUGUGAGGGAUCGUAAUUGCCUGCAUCCCAGGGACAAUUUUAACAACAAAGUGAAUCACCUCAAGGGACUUCCUCCUCCCUGCUAUUAAAGAAGAAAAGAGAGAGAGAAAGAAAGAAAGAACUUCAUGUUAUGGCUUUUUAUGAUGUGAGUUAUAGCUCAAUAGGAAAUGAACUAAGAAUAUCAAACUGCUCUCAGUCAAAUAAGGAGUUUCCAUAUUAAGCGGUGCUUUUCUUGAACCAUUUGGCUCCUGCGUGUAGGCAGAGACAAGUGGGUCGAAGAUUACUGCGUUCCAAAAGGGGAAAGGUCAGCUUUCAUUCUGCAAAACAUCGGGGAUCCUUGUGGAUUUUAAUUGCUCAUGGGGCUGCCGCGAAUACAGAAUAUAAAACGGCCCUAGGAAAACAAAGCAGAGCACACGACCGUACUCCAAGAAUAACAGGUAUAAAAAGUGAGAAGGACAUACCUGGACAUGCUGGGAACAACACCCAUGAUUCUCCCAAAUCCUGAAGAUGACCAAUCAACCUCUCCUGCAUGUCGGAAAGAUAAUAAAAGAAUGCAGAUUUUAGAGGCACAUCAUCCAUCACUGCUUCAUUAGUAUAUGGCUGGAAUCAGAAUUGCCACUUCGUUUUGUUCCAAGUAAAAGCUGAAAUUAAUUUAGAAGGUGAUGCUCAGCCAGAACAUCUGUGAGAAUUUUGAAGAAGGUCCAGAAAAAUUGAGAUAGGAUUAGUGAAAUUUCUCAAGGGGGUUUUGCACAUCUCAGCUGGACGGUGCUUGGGGAAGCCAGGUGUGUGGAGAGUGGUGGUCAAAGCCAAAUAGUGGAGCAUCUUGGGAUUUAUCCAUCGCUGCUGGAGAUGUGAAACGAAAACUCAUGGCAGGAAGAGAAAAGGCAGUGAUACUUAAUGCAACACAUGUUUCUAUCAUUUCCAUCCAAAACGUUUGUGUCUGUGUGAUAAAUGAAAAUGGGAGUGGCAAGUAGCCAAAAAAACAGUUUUGCUAGCUGAAGUAAUCUUGCUCAGUCUCUCUUAAUUUUGGACCCUUCAGAAAGUUUGGAUUUCAACCACGAGAAGUCCCCAGCCAGCAUGUCUGAUAGUCAGGAAUUCUGGGAUCUGAAGUUUCAAACAUCAAAAGGACCAAGGUUUGAGAAAUUCUGAUCUUCACGAUUUUGGCUUCUGGAAAUCCUCACCAUAAUGGUUGGAGAAUAUCUACUGAUCUAUCAAUUGACAAUAGACUUAAUCGAGAGGUUUAGGUAAUGUGAAAUUCGUUUGCAAACCAAUGCCUUCCACGUGGGUGGAACUACAAUGAGCCUCCGCCAUCAACUCCAC